rnacentral:rRNA from 1 species
CCUACGGGAGGCAGCAGUGGGGAAUAUUGCACAAUGGGGGAAACCCUGAUGCAGCGCCGCCGCGUGAGUGAAGAAGUAAUUCGUUAUGUAAAGCUCUAUCAGCAGGGAAGACAAUGACGGUACCUGAGUAAGACGCCCCGGCUAACUACGUGCCAGCAGCCGCGGUAAUACGUAGGGGGCAAGCGUUAUCCGGAUUUACUGGGUGUAAAGGGAGCGUAGCCGGCAGUGCAAGUCUGGAGUGAAAGGCGGGGGCUCAACCCCCGGACUGCUCUGGAAACUGUACGGCGGGAGUGCAGGAGAGGUAAGUGGAAUUCCUAGUGUAGCGGUGAAAGGCGUAGAUAUUAGGGGGAACACCAGUGGCGAAGGCGGCUGACUGGACUGUAACUGACGUUGAGGCUCGAAAGCGUGGGGAGCAAACAGGAUUAGAUACCCUGGUAGUC